rnacentral:lncRNA from 1 species
UUCUACUUUAAUCCUAAUUGAAAUUCUAAUAGAUUUUAACUAAAUCCUAAAUCAAAUCCUAACUAAAUCCUAUACCAUAUCUUAGAUAAAUCUUAAAUGCUAAAUAAAUUCUAAAUUUUAAAUCAAAUCCUAGACAAAUCCUAAACCAUAAAUUAAAUCUUAAUGAAAACUUGACCAACUCAAAUCAAUCUAAAGGUAGUUUAGAAUCCCAAUAUCUAUUGAUAAAAUUGUUGAUCUUAUUAAAAAAAUUUAUACAUCCCUCAAUCUCUUAGUAAAAAAUAAGUAUAACAAAUUUGAAGAUAAAUGCACUUACCAAAUAGAAAAAAAAUCCUAAAAUCCACUGAGGUAUUGGCCAGCCUCUAAGUCCAAUCUAAAUGUCA